rnacentral:rRNA from 1 species
CACGUAGGGGGCGAGCGUUGUCCGGAUUUAUUGGGCGUAAAGAUCUCGUAGGCGGUUCGGCAAGUCGGGUGUGAAAUUUCGAGGCUCAACCUCGAAACGCCACUCGAUACUGCUGUGACUGGAGUCCGGUAGAGGAGUGCGGAAUUCCUGGUGUAGCGGUGAAAUGCGCAGAUAUCAGGAGGAACGCCAACGGCGAAGGCAGCACUCUGGGCCGGUACUGACGCUGAGGAGCGAAAGCGUGGGGAGCAAACAGG